AGAGUUUGAUCCUGGCUCAGAUUGAACGCUGGCGGCAUGCCUUACACAUGCAAGUCGAACGGCAGCGCGGGGGGUAACUCCUGGCGGCGAGUGGCGAACGGGUGAGUAAUAUAUCGGAACGUGCCCUGGAGUGGGGGAUAACUAGUCGAAAGAUUAGCUAAUACCGCAUACGAUCUACGGAUGAAAGUGGGGGAUUCGCAAGAACCUCAUGCUCGUGGAGCGGCCGAUAUCUGAUUAGCUAGUUGGUAGGGUAAAAGCCUACCAAGGCGACGAUCAGUAGCUGGUUUGAGAGAACGACCAGCCACACUGGGACUGAGACACGGCCCAGACUCCUACGGGAGGCAGCAGUGGGGAAUUUUGGACAAUGGGGGCAACCCUGAUCCAGCAAUGCCGCGUGUGUGAAGAAGGCCUUCGGGUUGUAAAGCACUUUUGUCAGGGAAGAAACGG
rnacentral:rRNA from 1 species